rnacentral:rRNA from 1 species
CAGGCCUAACACAUGCAAGUCGAGCGGCAGCGGGAAAGUAGCUUGCUACUUUUGCCGGCGAGCGGCGGACGGGUGAGUAAUGCCUGGGAAAUUGCCCAGUCGAGGGGGAUAACAGUUGGAAACGACUGCUAAUACCGCAUACGCCCUACGGGGGAAAGCAGGGGACCUUCGGGCCUUGCGCGAUUGGAUAUGCCCAGGUGGGAUUAGCUAGUUGGUGAGGUAAUGGCUCACCAAGGCGACGAUCCCUAGCUGGUCUGAGAGGAUGAUCAGCCACACUGGAACUGAGACACGGUCCAGACUCCUACGGGAGGCAGCAGUGGGGAAUAUUGCACAAUGGGGGAAACCCUGAUGCAGCCAUGCCGCGUGUGUGAAGAAGGCCUUCGGGUUGUAAAGCACUUUCAGCGAGGAGGAAAGGUCAGUAGCUAAUAUCUGCUGGCUGUGACGUUACUCGCAGAAGAAGCACCGGCUAACUCCGUGCCAGCAGCCGCGGUAAUAC